GUUUUUUAACAAAACAUGUCUUGAUGGUUUAUUUUUAUUAAGUCGGGCCUGCUCAAUGAUUGUUAAUUAAAUAGCCGCGGUAUUUUGACUGUGCAAAGGUAGCAUAAUCAUUUGUCUUUUAAUUGAAGGCUUGAAUGAAUGGUUUGAUGAGAAAAUGACUUUCUUUAUAUCAGUUAUAUUGAACUUAAUAUUUUAGUUAAAAAGCUAAAAUGAUAAAGUGGGACGAGAAGACCCUAUAGAAUUUUAUUUUUUUUUAUUUAUUUAUUUUAUGGUAAUUAAAAAUUUUUAUAUAUUAAGAAAUUUUGUUGGGGUGACAGUGGGAUUCUAUUAACUCCUAUAGAUCAAAUAUUUACAUAUUAGUAUUUUAAAGAUCCUUUAUUAUUGAUAAAAAGAUUAAAUUACCUUAGGGAUAACAGCGUAAUUUCUUUGGAGAGUUCUUAUCGAUAAAGAUGGUUGCGACCUCGAUGUUGGAUUAAAAUUAGUUUUAAGUGCAGAAGCUUAAAUUCCUAGGUCUGUUCGACCUUUAAAUUUUUACAUGAUCUAAUUUCCCA
rnacentral:rRNA from 1 species